rnacentral:rRNA from 1 species
UACAGAGGUCUCAAGCGUUGUUCGGAUUCAUUGGGCGUAAAGGGUGUGUAGGUGGCGCCGUAAGUCGGGUGUGAAAUUUCGGAGCUUAACUCCGAAACUGCAUUCGAUACUGCGGUGCUUGAGGACUGGAGAGGAGACUGGAAUUCAUGGUGUAGCAGUGAAAUGCGUAGAGAUCAUGAGGAAGACCAGUGGCGAAGGCGGUUCUCUGGGCCUGACCUGACGCUGAGGAGCGAAAGCGUGGGGAGCGAACAGG